ACGACCUUACUUGAACAGGAUUUGUUUUAUAGGCUCGUACCGCUGUAUCCUUUACCAAUAAGGAGGCAAGCACUUCAGUUUGGUUGAUGCAUUCUGAGCUCUGGGUGCGCCACUAGAAUAUUUUAGUAAUGGCGCAUCAUUAAUAACUGGUAUAAGUGCGCCAUUAGUAGCAUUUAAAAAAAAAAGAAAUCGUUUUUUUCUUAAUCUCAGGUCACUAUUUCACAUAUG